rnacentral:rRNA from 1 species
GUGGGGAAUAUUGGACAAUGGGCGAAAGCCUGAUCCAGCCAUGCCGCGUGUGUGAAGAAGGUCUUCGGAUUGUAAAGCACUUUAAGUUGGGAGGAAGGGCAGUAAGUUAAUACCUUGCUGUUUUGACGUUACCGACAGAAUAAGCACCGGCUAACUUCGUGCCAGCAGCCGCGGUAAUACGAAGGGUGCAAGCGUUGAUCGGAAUUACUGGGCGUAAAGCGCGCGUAGGUGGUUUUGUAAGUUGGAGGUGAAAUCCCCGGGCUCAACCUGGGAACUGCCUCCAAAACUGCAUGACUAGAGUACGGUAGAGGGUAGUGGAAUUUCCUGUGUAGCGGUGAAAUGCGUAGAUAUAGGAAGGAACACCAGUGGCGAAGGCGACUACCUGGACUGAUACUGACACUGAGGUGCGAAAGCGUGGGGAGCAAACAGGAUUAGAUACCCGGGUAGUCC